CCUACGGGUGACAGCAGUGAGGAAUAUUGGUCAAUGGACGAGAGUCUGAACCAGCCAAGUAGCGUGAAGGAUGACUGCCCUAUGGGUUGUAAACUUCUUUUAUAUGGGAAUAAAAUGUUCCACGUGUGGGAUUUUGUAUGUACCAUAUGAAUAAGGAUCGGCUAACUACGUGCCAGCAGCCGCGGUAAUACGGAGGAUCCGAGCGUUAUCCGGAUUUAUUGGGUUUAAAGGGAGCGUAGGUGGAUUGUUAAGUCAGUUGUGAAAGUUUGCGGCUCAACCGUAAAAUUGCAGUUGAAACUGGCAGUCUUGAGUACAGUAGAGGUGGGCGGAAUUCGUGGUGUAGCGGUGAAAUGCUUAGAUAUCACGAAGAACUCCGAUUGCGAAGGCAGUUCACUGGACUGCAACUGACACUGAGGCUCGAAAGUGUGGGUAUCAAACAGGAUUAGAUACCCUGGUAGUC
rnacentral:rRNA from 1 species